rnacentral:rRNA from 1 species
GUUCGGGGAGCCGAGUAGAGUGGCGAAACGGGUGAGUAAUGCUUGGAUGACCUGCCCUCGAGGACGGGGACAACNGUUCGAAAGGACUGCUAAUACCCGAUAGUCCGGUUUAGAUGCGUCUAGAUCGGUAAAUGGUGCUUCCGCUCGAGGAGGGGUUCAAGGUCCUAUCAGCUUGUUGGUGAGGUAACGGCUCACCAAGGCGAUGACGGGUAGCCGGACUGAGAGGUUGGCCGGCCACAUGGGAACUGAGACACUGUCCUGACUCCUACGGGAGGCUGCAGUCGAGAAUCUUCUGCAAUGGGCGAAAGCCUGACGGAGCGACGCCGCGUGGAGGAUGAAGGCCCUCGGGUCGUAAACUCCUGUCACAUGUUAUGAAACGCACAGGUCUACCUGUGCGCUGACAAAAGCAUGAGAGGAAGUCACGGCUAACUUCGUG